rnacentral:rRNA from 1 species
AUGCUGGACUGGGCAUUCGACAAGGGUCAUCGUGCUCGGUUCAUAGAGAACGGAGAGAUGCUCCAGGCACUGCGCAUGAGGGGUCACGGGGUUCAUGGGCAUAUGGACUACGACGAGCGCUACGCGCCGUUCUUCAAGAGAGCCCGUCUGUUGGGUUUUGUGUUGCAGUUCAAGCGUCAGCCACCGAUGCUUGUCCACGCAGCUCUGACGGCGUUGAUUGACCGGUGGCGACCGAAGACCCAUUCUUUCCAUCUGCCAUGCGGGGAGAUGACGGUGACCCUCGAGGAUUGGGCGAUGAUUACUGUCAUGCCGAUCGAGGGUCAUGCACUCACCGGGCGAGUGGAGAGGACCAACUGGCAGCAGAGGGUUGCAGCCCUCAUCGGCGACUGCCCUGCUGUCAAGGGUAACCGUACAUCCGGUGUGCCAUUGACCUGGCUCUCGGAGCACCGGCAGAAAUGCCCCGAAGGCGCCGACGAGACGACUGUGGAGUGGUACGCGAGGGCCUACCUGUGGUAUCUUCUCAUGGAGGUCGUGUUUCUAGACAGCUCCGGGAACUCUGCCAACUGGUCGUAUCUCUUCUUCCUAGCGGACUGGGAGGCAGGGUACAGUUGGGGGACCGCAUCUCUCGCCUACCUAUACCGUUCGCUUGACGACGCAACGCAGAGGACGGGAGACAAGUCCAAUAUGGGUGGCUUUGUCUGGGCCUUCUCCAUUUGGAUGUGGGAGCGGCUGCCGGUGGGGCGUCCGGAGAAGUUGCCAAGACGCCCAUGGGGUGCCUAUAGCAAAGACGGCGACGAGACUCGACACCCCACCGUAGCUUACGAGUGGGACGUUGUCAAACUCUACACGGGCCUAAACAAGACUUCGUACAAGACCUACACCAAGGAGUUGGACGCUUUGACGCAUACGCAGGUAAACUGGUGGUUGUAUCAUGACCGAGAGUGGGACUUUGAUCUGAACGUGAUGUGCGAUGCGGACCGUGGUCUCUGGCGGUGCAUUGUGCCCAUGAUCUGUUUGUACGCCGUCGAGUGGCACUUGCCACACCGCGUGGCCACGCAGUUUGGGAUUUAUCAGCAUACCCCGCCGGGCCAGCCCACCGAUACCGGCGGCCACGCGCUCCACCUGAUGAGCCGGCAGAAGAAUCAGUCAAUCAUAGACUGGGGAGAGGAGCAUAAAACUCAUGUGACGGAGUGGAACCGACGGAGGUACCGUAAAGACGUGGAGAGGAAAGCCACACAGGACCUCAUCGGCUCAUCGAGCCAUGCUCCCUCGUCAUCUAGGUUGGUUGGGGAGGACGAGGAGGAGGCCACACAUGAAGAAGGAGAGGAGGAGGAGAGCAACGGGGAGGAGGAGUACGAUGAAGAGUAUGGACCUCCACCAACUCAAACAUCUCAAGCAUCUCAGCUACCGAAGAGGAAUCCGAAGAAGAAGGAUUUGUUGAGUCCGGACCCUUUCCAGAGACCGAAGCUUUACACUGGAAAAACAUAG